AUUCGCUUUGAUCCUGAGAACCCGCAGACCCUGAGGCUAGAGUUUGCCAAAGCCAACACCAAGAUGGCCAAGAAUAAGCUAAUGGCUACACCAAAUCCUACCAACACUCACCCCGCCCUAGGAGCACACUUCAUCGCUCGGGACCCCUAUGACCUGAUGGGGGCCGCUCUGAUCCCUGCAUCCCCCGAGGCCUGGGCCCCCUACCCUCUGUACACCACAGAGCUGACCCCAGUAAUCUCACAUGCUGCAUUCACAUACCCAGCUGCCACUGCUGCUGCCGCCGCCACCCUCCAUACUCAGGUGCGCUGGUACCCUUCCUCUGAUACCACCCAGCAAGGAUGGAAAUAUCGCCAGUUCUGUUAGUUCUUCCGCCUUGUCACCACAGCUGGGGAGGAAGCCACCCUUAAACUCCCACUGCCCCCAGGCGGCCGUGCAGAGAUGCUGCUUCCCGCCAAAGACUGUGAAUUUUAAGCCUGACUCAGUGGACUCUUUCCUGUUCCCUUUCUCUCCUCUUCCUCAGCCCAUCCUGCCCCAGAGCCCCUCUCCAAGGCCUCGCAGCAGGAUUCCGGGGCCUUCUCGCUGGGACACCCUGGCCCAGCUCGGAGGCCUCGUUGGGACUGAGCAAGGCCCGACCUCCAGGCCAAAUUUGCUUCCAUAGCUCCACCUCAGAGCAACGAGGCAUUUAAUUUUGCAUGUUUUCUGGCAUGAAUUAAGACACUUCAACUUGUGUAUAUGUGAGUGUACAGUUUGUUCUCACAUUGUGUCACCAUAGCAACAGAUCCUGACCACUAUGGCUCAUCAUCCCCCGCCCCCUCCCCACACCCCUUCCAGGCACCCACCCUGCUUCAGUGAGGACCAAGCCCUGCAGCCCAGCCUGCCCACCCNNNNNNNNNNNNNNNNNNNNNNNNCCUUCCAGGCUGAACAGGAAGGACCACCCAGCCGAGAGAGAGCAUUUUUUUUGUGGUCAUUUCAAAUCGGGGUCCUCUGCUUCCUCCUCCUCAGAUGGGCCCAUUUUGCUUACUUCCACGCUGCACCCCCGCCCCCUGCCAUGACUCCUCAUUCUUUCCAAACUUCAAAACCAACCAAAAAGUUAAAGUAUUUUUGUACCCUGUGUAACAAAAUAUUUAUGCAUCAUAAAGGAUUUUUUCGUGUGUGUGUGCGAUUAAUUAUUGAAGAGACCUUGUCUGCCCUGUCAGUUAAGUUUAACGUUUAGUUGGAGGCAUGAAGAAGAAAAGGGUUUCCGUUCUCUAGCAGUGAGCCUUAGCGUCAGCUGUUAGUUUAGGGAAAAUGAAGGAAAAAUUGUGCAAUUUUUUUGUUUUGUGAGCACAUCGGUGCUGUGCCUUGGACCGCAGCUGGGGCUGUCUUGCUGUUUUCAGACUUGGGAGACGAGGUGGCUGUUGUAAUUGCCGAUCCUGUGAGAAUGUGAAACUGGAUAAUAUAUGAAAUGCAAAAUAAAAAAAUUAUGCAAAGUAA
rnacentral:lncRNA from 1 species